rnacentral:ncRNA from 1 species
AGUUAAAACAAGGUCAGUCAGAGAAACUGUAAGAAAACACUGUUGGCCAGACUGUCCUUUCUGCUGGAAUAGCCUCCAUUGGAAGUACUACUACUAGUACUACUUAAAAAACCCCAAACCAACAAACCCAAUGCUUCAGAGUACACUCAUUGAGGAGUUUGAUAAAGUUUUCUGAAGAAAUCGAAGAGUUCAAAGCUGACUGGCCAACAGUGCACUCCAGCCAGGAAUAACAGAAUAGGACUCUGGCUCUUUUGUUGUUGUUGUUGUUGUUUGGAAGCAGGGCCAUGAUGAAGAGCCACAGCUGGGGCAUUCAUAUUAUGCCACUUGAACUGGAAUUCUUGGAACAGUGCAAGAUGAACUAAAGCAAAAGCAUUUUCCAAUAAUGUUUUCUUUAAUCAAGAACAAAAGGUGGAGGCUUGUGGCCAACUCACUAUCUGGUGGCGUUUCUCCCAUCACCUGCCAGGCAGCUCGCAGGACACCCAGGUCUCUGAGUUCU